rnacentral:rRNA from 1 species
UACAGAGGGUGCAAGCGUUGUUCGGAAUUAUUGGGCGUAAAGGGCGCGUAGGCGGUGCGGUAAGUCACCUGUGAAAUCUCCUGGCUCACUGGGAGCUUGCAGGCGAAACUGCCGUGCUGGAGUGUGGGGAGAGGUGCGUGGAAUUCCUGGUGUAGCGGUCAAAAUGCGUAGAUAUCAGGAGGAACACCUGUGGCAAAAGCGGCGCACUGGACCACAACUGACGCUGAGGCGCGAAAAGCUAGGGGGGGAGCAAAACAGG